CGUGGAUAAUCUACCUCUUAGUGGGGAAUAACUUUGGGAAACCGAAGCUAAUACCGCAUAAGCCUGGAAGGGAAAGCCGAAAGGCGCUGAGAGAGGAGUCCGCGGCCGAUUAGCUAGUUGGCAGGGUAACAGCCUACCAAGGCAUUGAUCGGUAGCCGGCCUGAGAGGGCACACGGCCACACUGGCACUGAAACACGGGCCAG
rnacentral:rRNA from 1 species